rnacentral:rRNA from 1 species
UGACCCGGGCCCAAAGUAGCAUAAUCAAUUGUCUUUUAAUUGAAGGCUAGAAUGAAUGGUUGGAUGAGAUAUAAGCUAUUUUUAUUUUAUAAGUUUGAAAUUUAAUUUUUAGUGAAAAUGCUAAAAUAAAUAAAUUAGACGAGAAGACCCUAUAAAUCUUUAUUUUUAUUUUUUAUUAAAAUUUUUAGUAAAUAAUGUUUAUUAAAAAAUAAAAAUUUAAUUGGGGUGAUUAUGAAAUUUUAUAAACUUUUAUUUAAUUAAACAAAUAUAAUUGUUUUGAAUGAUCCAUUAAUAAUGAUUAUAAAUUUAAGUUACUUUAGGGAUAACAGCGUAAUUAUUUUAGAAAGUUCUUAUUGAUAAAAUAGAUUGCGACCUCGAUGUUGAAUUAAGAUUAAUUUAAAUGCAAAGGUUAAU